UUCCGGUUGAUCCUGCCGGACCCGACUGCUAUCGGAUUGAGAUUUAGCCAUGCGAGUCGAACGUCCCCCUGUUGCGGGGGGCGUGGCGUACGGCUCAGUAACGCGUAGUCAACCUGCCCUGGAGACAAGGACAACCCCGGGAAACUGGGAUUAAUCCUUGAUAGGUCAUCUCAUCUGGAAGGAGAGAUGGCUUAAAGGGGUACGCGGGCUUCUUCCGCGAAUCUGCUCCAGGAUGGGACUGCGUCCGAUCAGGCUGUUGGCGGGGUAAUGGCCCACCAAACCUGUAACCGGUACGGGCCUUGAGAGAGGUGGCCCGGAGAUGGACACUGAGAGAAGGGUCCAGGUCCUACGGGGCGCAGCAGGCGCGAAACCUUCGCAAUGCGCGAAAGCGUGACGAGGUUAAUCCGAGUGACUCCCGCUGAGGGGGUCUUUUGUCAGCUGUAAAUAGGCAGGCGAAUAAGGGGAGGGCAAGCCUGGUGUCAGCCGCCGCGGUAAUACCAGCUCCUCGAGUGGUCGGGGCGAUUAUUGGGCCUAAAGCAUCCGUAGCCGGUUCCGUAGGUCCUCUGUUAAGUCCAACCGCUUAACGGUUGACCUGCAGAGGAUACCGCGGGACUAGGAGGCGGGAGAGGCGGACGGUACUCCGCGUGUAGGGGUAAAAUCCUUUGAUCCGCGGAAGACCACCAGUGGCGAAGCGGUCCGCCAGAACGCGCUCGACGGUGAGGGAUGAAAGCUGGGGGGAGCGAACCGGAUUAGAUACCCGGGUAG
rnacentral:rRNA from 1 species